GUAGAAAUGGUGGAGAUAGUAAAUAAUAAUAGAUAAUGCUGCAAUGAACAUAGGGGUGCAGAUAUCUCUUCAAGAUAGUGAUUUCAUUUCCCUCGUAUGUAUACCCAGAAGUGGAUUUACUGAAUUAUGUGGAAGUUGUAUUUUUAAUAUUUUGAGGAACUUCCAUACUGUUUUCCACAGUGGCUGCACCAAUUUACAUUCCCACCAACAGUGUAUCAGUGUUCCCUUUUCUCCACAUCCUCUAAAAAAACAAAACUCAAGGAAACAACAUAGAUUGGUGGUUGUCCAGGGAGAGGAGAGGAUGAGUGAAGGUGGUCAAACGGAAACUUUUAGUCACAAGAUGAAAAAAUUCUGGAGAUGUAAUGUACGGCAUAGUGACUAUUGUCAACAACACUGCAUUGUAUAUUUGAAAGUUUCUAGGGCAGUAAAUCUCAAAAGCCCUUAACACACACACACACACACACACACACACAAUUGUAACUAUGUGAGGUGGUGGAUGUGUCAACCACCCUAUUGUGAUAAUCACUUUGCAGUACAUACAUACAUCAAAACGUCAUGCUUUACACCUCAAGCCUACGUAAUGUAAUUUGUCAACUAUAUCUCAAUAAAGCUGGGGAAGAAAAAUAAAGAGAAAUAUGUGUACUUUAGUAAAAUAUACACUGUUAUAUAAUGAUAUUAUGUAUGUCAUAUGAAGAUGACGUCAAAAUCUAUUUUUGAAAUUUGUCAACCAAAAAAGUUUAAGGACAGUUUUUUUUUUAAACCUGGUAUAAAAGGAAGUAAAACACUUUAACAUAUUCUUGCUAGGAAAAUAUUUAUCAAUGAAGUCAAUAUCCAAUUAUUUUUCUGUGUUUCAUAAUGCUGUUUAUGGUUUGUGUUGCCUUGGCUAAUUCUCAAAAUGUCAGCUACUGUUUGACUAUUUCAAUCUAUUGUACAUUUUAUAUUUUCAACUGACUCUUGGUUUUGGAUGAAUUCCAGGAGAGCUAAGGCAUUACUAGUUGAUUGACCUAAGUCUGAUUUAGCAAUGCCUUUUUGCUUUAAUCUUAGUAAUUUCCAAGGCAAACUCCAAUGUCUUUGUGGAUGACUCUAUACAAGGCAAUUCUUUGACUUCAGUUCUAAUGAUCUUUACCUCUACAUUAAUUCAGUAUCUGACACAUAUAGCCACAUCUUGAAAUAUAUCCAAACUUCACACUAUACCGCAUGUGAAAUAUUAAACUUCAAUUCAUCACUGUAUCUUUAACUAUAACAACCUAUCUUUUCAACUGUGUAACACUGAUACACCUAUUCUUUGUAGGAAGUCUCCAGGCCCUGGACUACUCCAUUUCCUUUUAAUCUGUCUGCUGCUUUCUAGAUACACUUUCUUUCUUUUCUAACCUAGAUUCCAAAGUCUGUGUUCAAUGACACAGUCCCUAUUACUCUGCCUCUUGCUCCUUGCCCUUCUGUUGAAAUCCUGUGUAAAAUCAUAACUUUGGAUUGAUUCAACAGUUUUACUUCUUUGCUUUUUCACAAGUGGACUAUUGGGAAAAAAUGCAACACAAAGCUUCUCCCAUCUUUAAAAUAUCUUCUUUUGACUUCACACCCCCUUUUAGUUAUAUCCAAAUUCUGAACAUCUUGUGAAAAUCAAGCUGCUUUGUCGGGGAAUAAACAUUUGCUGCUACCACUUCAGAAAAAAUUCAGUCCUUGUGUUUUCCAAGAUGAACAAUGACCUAUAAAAUGGACACUUUUUAUCUUCACCUUGUCAUUGUUGACCAUUUUCUCCUUUAAGAAAGAAAUACUUCCUUAGCUUCUGUGACUUAAUUUUCUCCUUGAUUCCAUCCUACUUCUCUAGACUUUACCUCCUAGUUUCCUUUGUGGGAUCCUGUUUUUCUGCCCGUUCCUUAAAUUUCACAUUCUCCAAGUCUGCUUCAUUGGCUCUGUAUUCUUUUUACUAGUCACAAUCUAAGGUUACUUAAACCACAUCCAUGGUUUCAAUUACCACUUAUAUGUUAUAUUUUUAGCCCUAAAUUCUGCCCUGAACUCAAGACAGCUGGUUCUUGGUAAUCUCACUUAUACAUGUCUUACAGGAAUUUUGAGCUCUACGUGUUCUAAAAAUAACUUAGUAACUUUCACCCAAAAUCUUUCUCAACUGUAUUCUCUCUCUAAAUGAGUGGCAUGAAAAUUCCCACAUUCAUGCAAGCUAGAAAUGUAGGAGUCAUCCCUGACUCCUGCCUCUCACUCAGUUUCCACAUCCAACCAUUCCUAGGGUCCUGCUGAUACAAUGACUUUACUUCCAUCAUGUGUAUUUCUGCUGAUAGUCAUCUAUUGCAAUGCUAGUAAAUGAUAAUUUUUGGAGGCAUCAUUCUUUCUUUUCAGAAGCAUUUGUAAAUAAAUAGGUCCUCAAAAAGACCAUGUGGUGACUAGGAGUUGAAAAGACAUAGCAGAUGACUCUGCUCCUUCCCUCUGUAUGUUGCUGCUAAGGUAUCAGCAGCCUCGACAGUAUCCUUCCCCCAAAUGGAGUACCUAAUGAGACAUUAUCAUAACACUUUACAAAAGAGGGAUUUAUUUCCAUGGACAGUGUGUGUGACUAAGAUGUCAUUGAGUGGGACUUGAAGUCAAGAAGAGACCUUAGGAAAGUCACUAAACAUCCUUUUUCCUCACUUCUAAUAGAAGAACAUAUUUAUUUCAUAGAGUUAUGUGGAGAUAAGCAAGAUAAUAAAGAUGGAGAGGCAUACGUGCUAAAUGUUCAUUUUUUUCAUCCCCUUUAUUUUUGUUUUUAAUACUUCCCUGAGUAUUUUCUAUGUGUCAAUCUUGGACUGACCACUCUGAGUCCUGUUUGGAGGGAGAGAGCUUCUAAAGCAUUGACUGCGUACACGCAUGGAGGUACCAUGUUAAUGCUGUAUACAUUCUCAUUGCAAGGCACCACCCAUGGCUAGAAACGUGAACAUAUUAGAAGAUCCCAUACAAGCAACCUCAAAAAAAGUCCCAGGAGGGCCAUGCUGGGCUUCAGUGUCCGCCUUGACUAGCUGAUGCUUCACGGAACUUUACCACUCUCCAAGCCACAUCUAAGAAGAGCCUUCUACACACCAAGCUUACUGAACUAGGAUCCUUUGGCGUGCAAUCUCCAGCAAAUAAAUGGCAAAGUAGUAGAAUUCCAUGGAUGAGUGCCUUUGAUUUACGGCAUACAACAUGGUCAUCUCUUUUUCCAGAAUAACAGUGACACACACCCACCUCAGUAAAUUGACUUUGCCAAGUGACCUACAGUAUCACUCCGUGUUGUACAGAUAUUUGAUCAUUAAACUUCUACCUCACCCAACCGAAGAAUCUCUGACACAGAUCUUACUUUCAGGAGCCCUGUUUGAGCAACUCUAAGCUGAGAUGAGAACAGUCUUGCUGCAAAUGAACUUCGUCUCUGAGCUCUUUUUGUUGAUGUCUAGAGUGAGAGUUUCUAGAAUCUAUCUGUGGGAUCUAUAUUAAGUUAUAGUUUGUAUCAAAUGGCAUGAUAGUCUUUACCAAGCAAGAGGGCAGUGGAGUGUUUUUGUGGUUCUUUAUGGGCACUGAAAUAUUUACUAACCAUGUUGGUUUUAUUAAGUAAUUGGAGAUACAGACAAAUCAACACCUCGGGGAAAUCUACCUGACUCAAAACAUUUCAGUCAGUUUCCUGGUCACUGCUGAGCCGAAGAAUUCAUCGGGAGUGAAUGCCAGAGUUGAGGGUUGUUCUGAAGACCCUGAACCCAGCAGGAAACAGCCUGGAGAGCCAUGUACAACUGGGCAGAGAGGAAAUGACAGGAGACAGGUUGGGUUGACUGUCUUAGGCAAGAACAUAUUGGAACGGCGUUGAACAACGUGAAGAGGG
rnacentral:lncRNA from 1 species